UACGUAGGGUGCGAGCGUUAAUCGGAAUUACUGGGCGUAAAGUGUGCGCAGGCGGCCGAGCAAGUCGAGUGUGAAAGCCCCGAGCUUAACUUGGGAACUGCGCUCGAAACUACUUGGCUAGAGUGUGGCAGAGGGAGGUGGAAUUCCACGUGUAGCGGUGAAAUGCGUAGAGAUGUGGAGGAACACCGAUGGCGAAGGCAGCCUCCUGGGCCAACACUGACGCUGAUGCGCGAAAGCGUGGGUAGCAAACAGG
rnacentral:rRNA from 1 species